GAUGAACGCUGGCGGCGUGCCUAAUACAUGCAAGUCGAGCGAACAGAUGAGGAGCUUGCUCCUCUGACGUUAGCGGCGGACGGGUGAGUAACACGUGGAUAACCUACAUAUAAGACUGGGAUAACUUCGGGAAACCGGCGCUAAUACCGGAUAAUAUAUUGAACCGCAUGGUUCAAUAGUGAAAGACGGUUUUGCUGUCUCUUAUAGAUGGAUCCGCGCCGCAUUAGCUAGUUGGUAAGGUAACGGCUUACCAAGGCAACGAUGCGUAGCCGACCGGAGCGGGUGAUCGGCAAAAGUGGAACUGAAACACGGGCCAGACUGCUACGGUAGGCAGCAGUAGGGAAUCUUCCGCAAUGGGCGAAAUCCUGGCGGAGCAACGUCGCGUGAGGGAUGAAGGUCUUGGGAUCGGAAAACUCUGUUAUGAGGGAAGAACAAAUGUGUAAGUAUCUAUACACGUCUUGACGGUAACUAAUCAGAAAGCCACGGCUAACUACGUG
rnacentral:rRNA from 1 species